rnacentral:rRNA from 1 species
CAGCAGCCGCGGUAAUACGAAGGGUGCAAGCGUUAAUCGGAAUUACUGGGCGUAAAGCGUGCGUAGGCGGUGAGUUAAGUCUGCUGUGAAAUCCCCGGGCUCAACCUGUGAAUGGCAGUGGAUACUGGCUCGCUAGAGUGUGUCAGAGGAUGGUGGAAUUCCCGGUGUAGCGGUGAAAUGCGUAGAGAUCGGGAGGAACAUCAGUGGCGAAGGCGGCCAUCUGGGACAACACUGACGCUGAGGCACGAAAGCGUGGGGAGCAAACAGGAUUAGAGACCCCUGUAGUCCCUGUCUUUAUACA